rnacentral:tRNA from 1 species
GCGGGAGUAGUUUAAUGGUAGAACGUCAGCCUUCCAAGCUGAUCACGGGGGUUCGAUUCCCCUCUCCCGCUCCA